rnacentral:rRNA from 1 species
UUCGGACUGUGGUCUGCAACCCGACCACACGAAGCUGGAAUCGCUAGUAAUCGCGAAUCAGAAUGUCGCAGUGAAUACGUUCCCGGGUCUUGUACACACCGCCCGUCACACCAUGGGAGUCAGCAACGCCCGAAGUCAGUGACCUAACCGAAAGGGAGGAGCUGCCGAAGGCGGGGCCGGUAACUGGGGUGAAGUCGUAACAAGGUAUC